CAAUAGCGUAUAUUAAAGUUGUUGCAGUUAAAAAGCUCGUAGUUGGAUUUCGGGGCAGCCUGGCUGGUCCGCCGCAAGGCGAGUACUGGUCAGCCGCCCUUCCUCUCGAAAGCCCCGACUGCUCUUCGUUGCAGUGGUCGGGUAGUUCGGGACGUUUACUUUGAAAAAAUUAGAGUGUUCAAGGCAGGCCUACGCCUGAAUACAUUAGCAUGGAAUAAUGGAAGAGGACCUCGGUCCUAUUUUGUUGGUUUCUAGGGCCGAAGUAAUGAUUAAGAGGGACAGUUGGGGGCAUUCGUAUUUAAUUGUCAGAGGUGAAAUUCUCGGAUUUAUGAAAGACGAACAACUGCGAAAGCAUUUGCCAAGGAUGUUUUCAUUAA
rnacentral:rRNA from 1 species